rnacentral:rRNA from 1 species
UACAGAGGAUGCAAGCGUUAUCCGGAAUGAUUGGGCGUAAAGCGUCUGUAGGUGGCUUUUUAAGUCCGCCGUCAAAUCCCAGGGCUCAACUCUGGACAGGCGGUGGAAACUACCAAGCUGGAGUACGGUAGGGGCAGAGGGAAUUUCCGGUGGAGCGGUGAAAUGCGUAGAGAUCGGAAAGAACACCAACGGCGAAAGCAGGUCUCUGGGCUGACACUGACGCUCAUGCACGAAAGCGUGGGGAGCAAACAGG